GCUUCUCACUAGCUGUGUGACCUCGUAUAAAUCACUGAAGCUCUCUGAGCGCCAGUUUUCUCACCUGUAAAAUGGGGCUAUUAAUAAUACCUACCAUGAUACGAGAGAUGCAGGUCAGAUAGCUAGUUGAGUGCCUCAAGAAAUGUCAGCUAGCUUUAUGAUCAUCAUCAUUAUUAUCGUUCUGGGCAUGUGAGCUGGGUCAUGUCUGCUGGACAGGGCGGCAGGGCAGAGCCUCCCAGGGGGAGGGAAGUUUGGUUUCCUUGGAGACAAAUGUUUGUGGGCUGGGCUGGGCCAACAGCACAUGUUUCUGGGAAAACAAAACAAUGUCAUUUUUCUCCCUCUGGCCCUGCACCCAUCUAAGACCAGGCCCGGGAUCACAGCACGUAAGCGGUAAAAACACAGGCAGGUUUUGGGAAAUAAAAAUAUGCAUUUAUUUCUGUUCCCAGGUCCAGAAGCUACUUCCUAUUUUUCUCUCGAGGGAUGGCAAUAGCUUGUGCAAACGCCUGGGGGUGUGCAUGUGUGUCAGAUGCGAGCUGGGUGUGCCUCACUACGACGUCUCCCCUGGUCGUGCUAGGAUCGUGCUCCGGUCCCCUGAUCACGGCUGAUUCGCUAGUGUUGACAGACACCUGACUGCAGGCUGACAAGUCUCUCCUGGGGAUGUGAAACUUGAAUGGAGGGCACGCAGGCAGGGGGCGGUGGGAAAUGCGCCACCCCUGGCCAGCGCCCUAGAGAGGACAGCCACGGGCUCUGCCACUGAACCCCCUGGACAUUCCCGAGGAGUCUUCAUGUCUGGGGCGUGCUCUUCUGCCAUCCUGGGAACAGCUCUCCAUAAAUCCACCACUGGGCAACUUGUCUUGUUUCAGUUUUUUGCUGUUUGAGAUCUAUCAGCUGGAGCGGAGACCUCAUUUAUGAUUGUGCACAAAUAAGUAACCUUCUGGCCAUGCCCUCCAGCCUCGGACCACCAGGAUCACCCCUGUAGGUAAACAAGUGGGGUUCGUGACUCAUUGUGGCAAGAGAGGAUACGUGCCGUGGGGAACCCAAGGUGUCCCUGGAAGGGGGGUGAGAGACGGCUUGUAUGGGAUCCGGGCUUGUGUCCGGAGGUUCGGAGGAGAGUUUAAGGAAGUGGGGUUCUUCUCCGGGUUGGAUGCUGUCAAGAAGUGGGAGAAACUAGAUGGUUGGGAUCCUGGUAAAUCUUCUCUACAGAGAAGGCAGACGGGAGCCAGGAUAACGCUGUCAGGGGAGAAGAGGCAGCCGUCACAGGAUAGCCAGCACGGGGGAUGUUUGGUCAUUUUUGUGCCUUGGAAAUGUUUACGUUUCGAGUUCAGACGUGAUCACAGAGUGAUCUUGCUUUUGUCUUGGUUCAUCAGUCACAGAGCGUCUUGUCCGAGGCUGAUGUUCUGCGGCAUUGUGUUCCACAGGACUUGGCUGUCACCCGAGAGGCUCAGGUGGUUCGGAGCACCACCCAGGCCAAGUGGUCCCGGCCAGCUCCUGGGGGCAGGCUGCCUCCUCUUCCUCCAUCUAGCAGACACUGGUGGGUCCCAGAGGAUGCCUUCUCCCGCCAGAGGGCCGGCCAGAACUCAGCCCCGUUUGUGGCUUCAAUCCUCAGACUCGCCUCAUGGUGCAAGCUGCUGGUGCUCCACCCAUCACACCUACAUCUCAGGUCAGAAAAGGCCAUGUGGCUUCUUCCAGUUUGGCUCGGAACCAAGACUGGCUUCACGGGCGUGUGACUCACUUAGCUGCACAGGGCCCUGUGCUCAGAGGGUCAUUCACUUGUGUCAACGCUCUGCCGCAGUCCUGAAAUUCUUAGAGAUUUUAUCUUUGACCUUGUUUUGUGAGUAAAGUCUGAUGGGACAAUGGAGCAUGCGCAAUGCAGAGGACAUGGGUGCCCCAGUUCCUUGCCACCCUAUCAGUACACGCGUCUGUGAUGCUGCUGCACGGCGUCCGUGACACGCUUACCUUGUGUGUGGGCCCUGUGCUCAGAAGGGCUCCUCUCUUGUUUUAAUGCUCUGCUGUCACAUCUCGAAAUUCUUAGCAGUUUUAUCUUUGGACUUGUGUGUUGGAAGUGAAUUCCGACGGACAAUGGAGCGUGCACGUGAGCGGAAGAGAUAAACGCAGUCUGGGUGUCCGCCAUCCACACAGCGUGUUCACAGCGUCCCACAAGCAGGGAGCUCUGGUGGCCCCACAGUGCAGGGUCAUUCAGCGAGACUCCGGUGAGCACAAGGUGAGCAUGUGGCGUCUCAGAUCGAGUAAGUAGGGGCGCAUCCCAGAGGCCACGCUUUCUGUUCGAACCAGGAUUUCCUUUGGUCACGGAGACAAAGCCAGUGGUGUUCUAAGAAACACAGACCACCCGGCAACCUUGUCAUAUCCUUUCUUAUCCAUGUCACUUCUCUGUAUCAGCCAACCGCUUACACUGAAAAUGAUGAGACACGGGACACAGCACUGUUCCCCUUCCUGUCCUUACUCAUCGAAUAACAUUUAGUAGUAAAUUAAAAACACCAUGACAAGACGAGACAGGGAUUAAAAGAAAGGAGAGACUUUUUAUUCCAUAUCUACACUGGCACUUUUUCCCUACUUUCUGGACAAGGGGCACCGUAUUGUGUUGCUGGCCCGGCUUGGAAGCUUGCUGUCAGGACGCUUCGUCUCAGAACCCAGUCGCCAUGUGGUGAGGACCCAACCCCCAGGGAAAGGGCGUGUGUGGGUGCCCCGGUCUACAGCCCUACCCAAGCCCAGCCUUUGAGUCACCCCAGCCGAGUGACAGAAAUAAACCUCCAGAGGAUUCCAUUCCCGCCUCUGCCGGCCUUCCCCACACCGCGCCCAAACUUCCAGACGCCUGCGUCGAGCCCAGCCCUCGUGGAGCAGAGAUAAGCCAUCCCCACUCGGCCCCGUUUGAAUUCCUGACCUCCAGAAUCGUGCGACUGGGCGAGUGCAAUGAGCAGAAAUAAACGGGCCGCAGUUUAUUCAUUUGGGUUGGUUCCAAUCUUUUGUGAACACAAAUGGAGCUGCAAUGACUAACUCUGUGUGUAUAAUCUGUACGUUCAGAGCAGAUUCCUGCAAAUGAGGAUUACCGUGUCAAAGGGGAAACGCGUACGUAAUUUUGUUAGCUGUUGCCGACAUCCUCUCUAAACUCUUCUUUUUCCCCAUGUAGCUUUCUUUGUGUUUACGGCAUAUUCGUUCACGUCUAACGCCCGCCCCCCGCAACAUACCUGUGUGCAAACAGAGAAACACACACGGAGAAAAAUGCGCAAAUAAACGGACAGCUUGACAGAUUUGCACAAACCAAACAUGUGUGUGUAAAUCUCACUUGGGUCCAGAAACGAACAUUCCUGGCACCCCAAAGCUGCCCUCGCCCCCUUCCCGUGAGGACUCCCUCCCGUGGUGUGCAUUUACCACCGGUGAUCCAUCCCGUCUGGCCUUUCCAGUUGGGGGCUAACGUGUCCCACGCUCUCUGGCUUCUGUUGGGGUCAC
rnacentral:lncRNA from 1 species